UACAGAGGGUGCAAGCGUUGUUCGGAAUUAUUGGGCGUAAAGGGAGUGUAGGCGGCUCUUUAAGUCUUCUGUGAAAUCUACGGGCUUAACCUGUAACGUGCAGAGGAUACUGAGGAGCUUGAGUGUCGGAGAGGAUAGUGGAAUUCCCGGUGCAGAGGUGAAAUUCGUAGAGAUCGGGAGGAACACCAGUGGCGAAGGCGACUGUCUGGCUGACAACUGACGCUGAGACUCGAAAGCAUGGGGAGCAAACAGG
rnacentral:rRNA from 1 species